rnacentral:rRNA from 1 species
GACGAACGCUGGCGGCGUGCUUAACACAUGCAAGUCGAACGGAAAGGCCCUGCUUUUGUGGGGUGCUCGAGUGGCGAACGGGUGAGUAACACGUGAGUAACCUGCCCUUGACUUUGGGAUAACUUCAGGAAACUGGGGCUAAUACCGGAUAGGAGCUCCUGCUGCAUGGUGGGGGUUGGAAAGUUUCGGCGGUUGGGGAUGGACUCGCGGCUUAUCAGCUUGUUGGUGGGGUAGUGGCUUACCAAGGCUUUGACGGGUAGCCGGCCUGAGAGGGUGACCGGCCACAUGGGGACUGAGAUACGGCCCAGACUCCUACGGGAGGCAGCAGUGGGGAAUAUUGCACAAUGGGCGGAAGCCUGAUGCAGCAACGCCGCGUGCGGGAGGACGGCCUUCGGGUUGUAAACCGCUUUCGCCUGUGACGAAGCGUGAGUGACGGGAAUGGGUAAAGAAGCACCGGCUAACUACGU